rnacentral:lncRNA from 1 species
CCGUAGUCUCUGUCAACGGUGGCCAAAGCUCCCCUAAACCAGUCCCAUUCAGAGGCAUCAUAGUGCGGCAAUGCGGGGUGGGUGUGCUGCAAGUACGUGAUCAGUACCAAAAAUCCAUUCACCACCAUUAGAGGACCUCCGUAGAAGCAUAUAACCCAAGCAAGUCCCUUUGCAACGGCAAGACGGUAAAGCCCAUAGAAGACAGCAAGAACACCAGCAUCGGACACAAAUAUCUGCAAUCGUUCGCGAUCAGAGUAGAUUGGCCCAUACGGAUGAAAGUGGCAAGCAAAUCCUUUGUAGGGCCUUCCAGAAACAUUGAACGCAAGAUACAAAGGCCAGCCUAGAGUGAGUUGGAUGAGGAGUGUGAGGAAUCUGCCUGGCGGAUUGUUGAGAUAUUUGGCAUGCCAUCCAAUUUCGAACUUCUGCUUGGGGACAAAGACUUCAUCUCGCUCAAGGGAACCUGUGUUGGAAUGGUGGCGGCGAUGGCUAUACUUCCAUGAGAAGUACGGGACAAGGAGGCAAGAGUGGAGGAUCAAACCAACAGUGUCAUCCAGCCAUUGAUAAUCACUGAAAGCAUGGUGACCGCACUCAUGUGCUAUGACCCAAACACCGGUGAGAACACAGCCCUGAACGUACCAGAAAAUCGGCCAUGCCAAGAAGGAUAGAGGUUGAGACAGAUUCUGAAUGUAGGUGGAAGCAAUGUAGUAAAGGAUAGAGGCAAUGGUGAGGUCAUAAAAGACAUAGGAGAAGGAGCGGAUAACAGAGCGCUGAAAACAAUGAGGUGGGAUGGCUUUCUUGACCUCACCGAGGCUGAACGGAGGCUUAGAGUACGGAACUCUCUUGUGGGUGUCAGCAUCCGCAUUUUUGCGCACAGGGGGCGCAACCAUUCUUCCACCGGCACCCAUUGUUCCCAAAUCUGCCAAGAACAAAGAGUCAAACAGCUGAAAAUAAUGUAAAAUUACAGAUUUCAGAUCUCAAAUAUUCCUCCCUUUAAGCACUUGAAAGUUAAUAAUACAGAAAAAAAAAGACAGAACAAAAGUUACUUGAAAAAAUAUGACCAACCAAUCAAGAUUUAUAAUAUAUUGCAGUUUGAAGCCUGACACGACAACCACUCAAAAUUAGAACACAAACAUGGACGGACCAAAACAAACGUUGACAGGCAAGUGGAAUAUUCCAAAAAAUCCAACGUUACAACUUGAAGAACAGUAAGAAGCCCACGACAAGAUCGCUUCUCACUGGCAAAGACAGAGACGGCAAGACCAACAAGUUGAUACAAGUUCCGGAGGGCUUAAACUCCUUGAUUAAGUCGUAAUUGGCAAUUUGACUACCACAUUAAACCAAAUCAAACGACCCAAACACAUAAUCCAAAACGACAACUCCAUCUAUUUUUUAGUAUAUAGCUACUGAAAAACGCAUAUUUCGUUUUCUUGUUAUAGGUUUAAUCACUAUUUGAGGCACUUCUUCUGUCUCCUUGCAUCAGUACAACUGAUGCAGAUCGUCUGCCUCCUGUUUGAUGCCUUUCUCGUCCUCUUUUAUUUUAUGCGAUCACGGUUAAACCACGUCAACAUUUUAUAUUAAUUUUUUAUAAAGAUAAUAAGAUAAAAAAUAAUAAGAAUAUAAAAUAUUGACGUAACUUAACUGUAACGGCACGAAUAAGAGAAAAUGAAAAGGACACCUAAAUCGGGCAGACAAUCUGCCUCCCAGUACAACAAGGAAUCACUUGUGGAAAUGCAACGCUCAAAACUUAAAACAACAACAAAGCACUGUUAAUAAAAGGGAAAAUUAGACUAUAUACAAAAGCACCUUUUGACUUGUUCGGUUGUGAUUAGGACCCACAUCUUUAAUUAAUCAAAAUCAUAAGCAUCAAAGCUGCUGCGUCUGAAAGCAAUCCACCGUACUAGAAAAUAUCAAAGUUUACAAUUGACAAGGAAUUCAAACGAAAAAUCUUUGAACAAAAUCAAGUACACGUAACCUGCAGAAAAUGUAUUUGAUUCGCGUCCCAAUAUCGUGGCCUUAAACACGAUUAACUAAAUAAUAAUCUUAAUAUAUGUAUAUAUAAAAAGUGAGAAAGUUUGAAACUUUAAAUUGAAAAAAAGACCAUUACCACAGAAGCUAUUUUCUAAGCAUGAUUCGCUUUACAAUUAGGCUUUGAUUUUGACUAAUUAUACCUCAUUCACCUUGUCAAUUACCAAAACACCCAGAUUGUUUUGUUGCCAACGAAUUUUAAUUUGGUAAAAUCACAUCGUUUUCAGAGUAUUCCCCAAAAAACUGUUGCAAUACAUGGUGUUUCUCGUUGGUUUUUUUCCUAAUUUUCAACCCAAAAGCCGCCCAACUUUUCCAAAUUUACAGCAAAUAAAACUAAAGCUUGUCAGAAAAUGUGCACACAUGCCGGGACUCGGUCGCAACCCAUUUAACGAAUUGUUAAACGCGGCGUUGCAGGCGGAACGAAGACGGAAGGG